AUGGGGCCGGAAGUGGCUGUUGCACUUGCGGUGGUGGGAUGGUUCGUCUCGCCGCACAUAACCAAGCUCAUGGAGGUCGCACGAUCCUGCGCUUCCAGCAAGUACAAGCUGCCAAGGGGCAUGAGGAAGAAGCUGCUGAAACUGGCGCAAGAUCUGGGGGACAUCAAGGACUUCCUGGAUCCAGCUACUAUGGGGGGCUCCGUCAGCGACAGGACCUGGGUCAACCGUCUGUGGAGUCUCAAGGAUGCCAUCCAUGACGCGGAGGAGAUCCUGGACUUGUUCGAGUGGCAUAUCCUUGAGGCCGAGGCAGCUAAAAACCUUAAGAAGCGCUCCGGCGGUGGUGGUGGCAGUGCUAGCAGCAGUGGCAGGAAAUCCGCAUAUUCUUGGUGGAUUUUCACCACCAACACCAGUGGUCCGUCACUGAAUCAGCUCAAGGAAGUGCUCAAGAACCUAGGGGAGCUUCGUGAGAGGAUGCGAGAGCUCUGCGAGAAUCCUGCCACUCGGCGUGCUGUACUUUCUCCACUCUGCAGAGCACCCUUGGGCCCGGAGCCAGUAAGGGAGAAGAAGCUCUUCUUCGGGUACGGCGUGGAGUAUGAGCAGCUAGUCUCCAUGCUCGGGGACGGCAACUGCAAGGACAAGAAAGUUAUCUCCCUCAUAGGCCAUGGCGGGAUGGGGAAGACCGAGCUUGCUCGCCAGGCGUACCGCCAUGUCCGAGGCAAGUUUGAUCGGCCCAUAUGGGUGCCUGCCUACGGCAAGAAUGCUCAGUUUGACCUUCUGGCAGAGAUUUGGAAGUCGGCCGUCGGCGAAAAAUCAGUCCAGGAGAUGAACAUUUCUAGCCUUCAGGACAAGCUCAAGGCACAACUGGCAUCCCAGAGGUGCCUGCUUGUGCUGGAUGAUGUAUGGAGCGACGAAAAGGACAUGAACGAGAGCGAGAGAAGGACUGCGCUGCGCUGCUUCACUGAUUUCGUGGGCGUCGGGAGUCGCAUCGUAAUGACGACGCGAUCCAGGAUUUGUUCGACGAAACUGGGCGCAGAAGAAACCAUCUUCCUGAAUGGGAUCAAACCUGAAGAGAUGAUGCUUCUGCUCAACGACACCGCAAAUCCCAGCGCCGAUGGUACCAGCGGCAUCCAGGGGAUGCUCAAAAGCGACGUGCUCAAGCUCAAGGGGUCCCCUUCGGCGGCCAUAGAGAUCGGCGAGAAGUUGAAGGCACGAAACGCAAGCUGCGGGCGCGAGCGACGCGGCGGCAUCCUGGCAAACAUGGAAUGCCACAUCGCCGGCGUGUUAGUAAGCCAUCUCGCCAGCUAUGACCAUCUGCCACCGCACCUCCAGCGUUGCUUCGCGUUCUGCAGCAUAUUCCCAAACGGUUGGAGGUUUGAGCCUGAGAAGCUGACCAAGAUGUGGAUGGCUCUUGGUUUCGUCGAGGAGAAGGCCCAUCAUCCUCAGGUUGGAAAUGGGAUGAGCAGCAUGGAAGACGUUGCCAGAGGCUAUUUCCAAGAGCUGGUGGACCGCUCCUUGUUUGAGUUAGAACAGAGCAAGGGUGGAGGAGACAAACAUAAUCGGGUUCGCCACUUGUCAGUUACCAGCGGCUGCCUUGAUCAGCUGAAUGAGUACUCCAUAGGACUCGGCAAUCUGCGGACCUUGAUAGUCCUAAAGGAUGAUGGUGUCGUUGCCAUUGACAAAGAUAUACUCCAACAAUUCAAGGGUGUGAGAGUACUGGAUCUGACAGAGACAGGCAUAACUCAACUUCCAGCGAGUAUUGGCAAGCUGAAACAUGUGAGGUACCUAGGCCUUCCUAGCACCGUCAGCAGUGAUCUCGGUGAUCAAGUCACCAAGCUAUUGUUUCUUCAGACACUGAGUGUGGGCCAGGAGGAGGACAAAGGGGAAAAGAGAGAGUGCAUCACCAACAUAAGUGGCAUAGGAAGGCUGGUUAAACUUCGAGAGUCGAUCGAGUUCCAGGUGAUGAGGGCAUCGGAGAAGGAAGGGCACAGCCUGUGGGAGCUGGCCGGGAUGAAGUCUCUUGGGAAGACGCUGAGCAUAAAGGGCCUGGACGCCGUCGCGAGCAAAGAGGAAGCCAAGCAGGCUCGGCUUGACAACAAGUGUUCCGUCAAGGUCCUGAAGCUUCAAUGGGGAGCCCCGGAUGCGCGCCACGGAGAACCUGUCGCCCGAAGCUCUGCUGCUGCUGACCCCGCGCCCGCGGUGGCCGUCCUCCAAGGUCUCCAGCCCCACCACUACCUCCAUGAACUUCGUAUCGAGAGGUAUUCCGGGGAGACGUCGCCUACCUGGCUCAGCGGACUGGAGAAGCUGACGCGCCUGUACCUCAAGAACUGCAGGAAGCUCAAGGCCCUUCCGGCCCUGGGCCAGCUCCCGUGCCUUGAGCUUCUCGAAAUCAAGGAGCUUUGUGUUGUUGCGAGGAUCGACGGCGGCUUCUGCGGUGGCGGCGCGUUCCCCAAGCUUAAGAAGAUCGUGCUGGACGACAUGAAGGAACUGGUGGCGUGGAAUGACAAUGACAUGCCGAAAGUUGCGUUCCCUCUGCUCAGGGACGUGAGCAUCGCCGACUGCCCGCUGCUGUCGUCCUUGUCGGCCCUCGGGCGCUGCACAGGUCCCAUUGAUCUGCGCGUCAAGGGUGAGUGCCCUCACAUUACACCAGACACCCUGCCCGCAGCUUUCAGGAACGGUGUCUCAACCUGCAAAUUCCACUAG
rnacentral:rRNA from 1 species